rnacentral:rRNA from 1 species
UACGUAGGGUGCAAGCGUUAAUCGGAAUUACUGGGCGUAAAGCGUGCGCAGGCGGUGAUGUAAGACAGGUGUGAAAUCCCCGGGCUUAACCUGGGAACUGCAUUUGUGACUGCAUCGCUGGAGUCCGGAAGAGGAGAGUGGAAUUCCUGGUGUAGCGGUGAAAUGCGCAGAUAUCAGGAAGAACACCCGUGGCGAAGGCGGCUCUCCGGGACGGUACUGACGCUGAGACGCGAAAGCGUGGGGAGCGAACAGG